UACGGAGGGGGCUAGCGUUGUUCGGAAUUACUGGGCGUAAAGCGCGUGUAGGCGGCUAAGCAAGUCGGGCGUGAAAUCCCAUGGCUCAACCAUGGAAGUGCACCCGAAACUGCAUAGCUAGAGUCCUGGAGAGGAAGGUGGAAUGCUUGGUGUAGAGGUGAAAUUCGUAGAUAUCAAGCGGAACACCGGUGGCGAAGGCGGCCUUCUGGACAGUGACUGACGCUGAGACGCGAAAGCGUGGGGAGCAAACAGG
rnacentral:rRNA from 1 species